UCCUCUUCCUCUUCCUCUUCCUCCAAGCCUCAAUUCCCCAAGAUUCCAUUUCUCUGUUUCCCGUCAAACCCCCGCCGCUCCCUCAGAAUACCCUCCAUGUCCGUUUCCAAAACGAAUCAUCGUUUCGGCACCCCACAAUCCCUCUCUGAAUGGCUUAAGCCUCGAUUGCCUUCCGACUCCUUGGCUUCUUGGGGUGUCAAACCCGGCACCAAAAACGUUCACAACCUAUGGCUCGAGCUCUCUGAAGGUGAAACCUUCCUCGCUGACUCCACCCCUCCAAUCCGCACUGUCAGCGUUGUUACGGUCCGAAUCAUCGGUAAAAACAAUCAAAUUCUUGUUGAAUCUCAUCAAGAAUUAUCGGAUGGUGGUGUAAGGAAUCGGUGCAGACCCUUAUCGGAGAAAAUGAAGCCCAACGAGACACCUGAAGCUGCUGUCUAUCGUGCUAUAAAAGAAGAGCUUGGAUCGAUCAUAAAUGACGGUGGACUUGUGAGGAUUGUGCCUGGUUCCUACAAGGAGAAGGUUGAGGAACGGAAUUCGAUGUCAUACCCUGGCCUGCCGGCUCGUUAUGUCUUACAUUCUGUGGAUGUGACGGUGGAUGGGUUGCCUGAGGGAGAGUUUUGUACGGAAGAGGUGGAGGAGUAUACUGAUUCUGAAGAAAAGAGGGCUGCGGAUAAGGCUGUGUUUGUGAAGAAGCAUUUCUGGAAAUGGGUUAGUUCUGAUUCGGUUCAAUCUUGAUAUAUGGCAAUAUGGAUCUUCAGCUUUUGGCUGCAUUCUGACAAUUUUUGGUUAUACUACUACCUUUUACUUUUGUUGCUUUUGAUUUGAUUGGAUAAUGCUUCUUUUUGUGAUUAUGUUCUUUUGAGAUGCUAAAAAAUCAAUAUACUUGUCUUAACAUGUAUGAAUACUAAUUCUACGAAAAUUAGAGAUAUGAGGUUCAUCAUUAUACAUUUAGUUUUGUAAGUAUUUUUCAUAUCCCCUUUUCAAUUUUGGAUUGUGAUAGUACUCUAUUCUUCCAUUUCAAUCUUUACAUAGACCUCUGUUCAUUUACCUUUUGCAAUCGGAGCUUUGCUUAGUUACUGUGCUGCUUUGUGUUUGAACAAAGUGAGAAGAUUUUGGAUAUAUUUUAAUGAACCAGGGUACUGCCAUGAAGAUUUUCUGUGACAGUUGUUGGCAGCAGAUGAGCUUGAAGUAAAUAGCUAUGUUGUAAGGUUAGAGUUAUAUGUUAUCUUGAGGGAAAUUAGUUUUCUUUUGCAAGCUAAUAGCUGUAGUACCUUCCUGUGGCAACAGCUUUCUAUCAAUAUAAAUGUUAUGAUUUGGAUGUCCGUGGGAAUGAAG
rnacentral:misc_RNA from 1 species